UAAAUUCUUCCAUAAAGAAUGAACCUCCAGCGCCCAUGCCCUCACCUCCGGAUUCUUCACCUUAUCCAAGAAUCCGUCGGGCUCCGGAAGAAAAUCGGGUGGGUCAAAGUACAGCACAUCCUCCCCUGCACCCUGAAAGUACAUUGCUAAGAACCCCUCCAAGUCCUUAAUCGAAACUGUCCCAUUUUCACUCCUUGGAAGCCCAUGAAAGGCCUUCUCAGUUGUUGAGAGACUGAAUUUUAAGGACAAAUCAACGUAAAGUUUUGGAUCCAAGUGUCUCUCUCCAAAAGUUGAAAGAGCAGUUUCUUGCACACGUUCAAGAAAGGUGAGCAAGGGUGUUGUGGGAACUACAGGGUCUAUGUCCUUGCAUCUGGUCAAAGAUUUUGACAGGGCCAUGGUUGGCAGCAGGGAAAAUAAAAAGAAAAGCAAUAGAAAAAUGUGAUCAAGAUUUUGUGCCAUUCUUGAAAUGGAGUGACUGUGAAGGUUUGGUUAGAGAAGGAGCCAUGAUUGGUAUUGGAUAUAUGAUGAUGGAGAGGAAUUUCAAGAAGCAGCCGGCAGUUGGAAUUUUAUGGGCUUUGGCUGGAUUUUUUUCUUGUUAUUUUCUUGAAUGAAAAG
rnacentral:misc_RNA from 1 species